rnacentral:rRNA from 2 species
GGGGCAACCCUGGUGGCGAGUGGCGAACGGGUGAGUAAUACAUCGGAACGUGUCCUGUAGUGGGGGAUAGCCCGGCGAAAGCCGGAUUAAUACCGCAUACGCUCUACGGAGGAAAGGGGGGGAUCUUCGGACCUCUCGCUACAGGGGCGGCCGAUGGCAGAUUAGCUAGUUGGUGGGGUAAAGGCCUACCAAGGCGACGAUCUGUAGCUGGUCUGAGAGGACGACCAGCCACACUGGGACUGAGACACGGCCCAGACUCCUACGGGAGGCAGCAGUGGGGAAUUUUGGACAAUGGGGGCAACCCUGAUCCAGCAAUGCCGCGUGUGUGAAGAAGGCCUUCGGGUUGUAAAGCACUUUUGUCCGGAAAGAAAACUUCGGCCCUAAUACGGCGGGAGGAUGACGGUACCGGAAGAAUAAGCACCGGCUAACUACGUGCCAGCAGCCGCGGUA